UGCACCAGCUGGCCUGCGGCUGUGUGUCGGUCCUGCAUCAGUGCCGCCGCGGCCCGGCCCACCUGCCGCUCCGGCGCCAGUAGGGAGCAGAAGGCGGCACUCAUGGACCGAAGCAGAGGCCGGCGGCGGCCCAGGUGCCCAGGAGUGAAGCUGGAUGGGCUGGGGGCUCCCGGAGGGCCCGUGCCUGACUCUCCAGGGCUUUCCAUGGCUGGGAGCUCCUUCGGCUUCAGGAAGAGAAUCCAACCCCAAGGCAAGGCACGCACAUCCCCAGGCCGCCUUGAGCAAGAGGACUUGUGAGCCAACUGCGAUCCAGGGACCCUGGGCUGAAGAUGGGGGAGCCUUGGGUCCACAUAGCCCAGAGAGACCCAAGACCCUGUAAGAAAUUGCUGACAGCUGGAUUUGCCUGGACAUGGUCACAUGACACCAAGCAACCACAAGUGCACCUAGUGCGACUGUCCUCCAUGUCCCCUCCAAACCUCUCCCCCAGGUCUGGAGGUGACCCUAACAUCCUGCCACCUUUUAGGCCACCUUGGGUGAAAGGAUACCAGAAACCAGAGGUGCCUUCUUCCUCUUGCUGGGCGGCAGGGAGUCCCAAGACCUGGAGCUGCCUCUGGCGUGCAGUUUGUCGUCCCACCAUUCUGCCCCCAGACCCAGAGUUAGAACUGGGGUGCUGGCCCACAGGACACUCUCUCUUCUGUAGCCUCUGCCCCCACCAUGGGCCAGCCUGGCCUCAUAUCCCCUGCCCCAUCACAACCCUGGGCUUGGGGUAGGAAGCCCCUUAGGGCUGUUCAGGUCCUGCCCGCACAGCUGCGCAACCCCGGGAAGAGGCCGCUGCACUUCUGUGAGCCUCAUCUGUUUAGUGGACAGUGGGAUGAUGACAAUUCCUGCCACCCCAGGACUCCACAUGAACACAGGUACUAUGAACGUGGAGGGGACUAGAGCUAUUGCAUGGGACUGCAUGUCACACUGAUACCUGUUUUGGAAAGAGCAGGGGCAGAAGAGGGCAGGGAGACCCACUCUGCCCGAGCCCCUACUGUGUGCCAGGCCCUUUCCAGGCCUGGUUUCCUUCAGUCCUCACACUGACCCCAAGAGGCAGGUCCUCUGACUGUCCCCUUGACUUCAGGACAUCUGAAGUCUAGAAAGGGGUGGGCGUUGACAGAGCCAAGCCCAGGGCCGGGGUGCCCGGGCUCUCGCGCUCACCAGAGCUGAGGUCCAGGCUCUGGCGGUCCUCCUCCAGCCUCUGGAUCCGCUCCUGCAGCUCCCCCUGCAGUGUGUCAUAGAGCAGCAGCUUCUCACUCUGGAAGAGGGGGCAAUAGCUCAGCAGGACGGAUGGGGAGAGCUCACUUCAGGCCUUGCGCCCCGCCUUGUCCCCAGUGUGCCCAAUCAGGCCCACCUCCAGGUGCUGUUUGGCUCCCUGCAGCUCACAUUCGUACUUAUUCCUGAUCACAUCCAGACAGAACCCCUUGUAGAUCCCUGCAGAGAAAGGAAGGAGGGGCCCUGCUUGGCUGGGGAGCCUGGUGCCCACACAGGAGGGCUGAAAGCAAAGGGUGAGGCCAGGGAGGAACAAGAGAGGAAGGGGACAGGGUGCCAUGGGUUCUGGGAGGGGAAAAAGGCACAGAACCACCCACAGACCUGCCACCUGAAUGCGAAUCUUGAGGCUCUGCUGCAGCCCCCCAAGGGGCUCCGUGUAUUCAGGGGCUCUCUCAGCCCCCACUUCCUCCAGCCGCAACCGCAGCUGACUCAGUCGUUCCCUGAACAACCUGGGUGGUAAAAAAGGCAGCCGUGCACCCAUUUGCUCACCUAUUGCUCUUGGGCAAACACGUACCCAGCACCCAUUCCACAGCAAGCCCUGUGUUAGGCGUGCACUUCCUGGGCACCAACCACGCCUGCCCAGUACCAGGCCCACCACCUCCUCAUCCCAGCUCCUCGCAGACCCAGCCCAAGGUGUCCCCAUGCUCACUUCUCCUUUAGCUCCGAGAACUGCUUUUCUAGGUCCAGCAUCUCACUGACACACUCGCUGCGGCGCCGCUCAUAGUCCUCAUCGUCCAUCUCUGGGACAAGAGGCCAGUAAGGGCUAGCUCUGGGGAGGGGUGGUGGGUACCCACAUGUGUGCAUGUGCGUCCUUCAUGUGUGUGUGUGUGCAUGCGUCCUUGUGUGAAGGGGCUGUGUGUUUGUAUGCAUGCUUGUGUGUAGGGGCUGUGUGUGUGUGUGCUUGUGUGUAGGGGCUGUGUGUGCGCACGUGCUUGUGUGUAGGGGCUGUGUGUGUGCAUGCGUGCUCGUGUGUAGGGGCUGUGUGUGCAUGU